rnacentral:sRNA from 1 species
UAAGCGGAGGAAAAGAAACUAACAAGGAUUCCCCUAGUAACGGCGAGUGAAGUGGGAAAAGCUCAACUUUAAAAUCUGGCAGCUUCGCUGUCCGAGUUGUAGUCUCGAGAAGUGUUUUCCGCGCUGGAUCGUGUAUGAGUCUGUUGGAAUACAGCGUCAUAGAGGGUGAGAACCCCGUUCAUGACACGACUACCAGUGCUUUGUGAUACACUUUCGAUGAGUCGAGUUGUUUGGGAAUGCAGCUCAAAAUGGGUGGUAAAUUCCAUCUAAAGCUAAAUAUUGGCGAGAGACCGAUAGCAAACAAGUACCGUGAGGGAAAGAUGAAAAGCACUUUGGAAAGAGAGUUAACAGUACGUGAAAUUGUCGAAAGGGAAACGCUUGAAGUCAGACGUGCGCGGUGCGAUUCAGCCUUGGUUCGCCAGGGUGUACUUCGUACCAUUGCAGGCCAGCAUCGGUUUUGUGAGCCGGAUAAAGGUUAGAGGAAGGUAGCGGUCCAGGCCGUGUUAUAGCCUCUAACUGAAUACGGAUUGUGAGACCGAUGGGACGCAGCGCGCCGCAAGGCAAAGGGUCCGCC